AGUUCAAGAAAGCUGUGGA
rnacentral:snRNA from 1 species